GAAAGAAUAUCGGAGACGGAUGGGCAUGCGGCGCAUUAGCUAGUUGGCGGGGUAACGGCCCACCAAGGCGACGAUGCGUAGGGGUUCUGAGAGGAAGGUCCCCCACACUGGUACUGAGACACGGACCAGACUCCUACGGGAGGCAGCAGUGAGGAAUAUUGGUCAAUGGGCGAGAGCCUGAGCCAGCCAAGUCGCGUGAGGGAGUACUGCCCUAUGGGUUGUAAACCUCUUUUGUCGGGGAGCAAAAGCCGGACGUGUCCGGCUGUGAGAGUACCCGAAGAAAAAGCAUCGGCUAACUCCGUGCCAGCAGCCGCGGUAAUACGGAGGAUGCGAGCGUUAUCCGGAUUUAUUGGGUUUAAAGGGUGCGCAGGCGGAUUUUUAAGUCAGCGGUCAAAUCGUGGGGCUCAACCCCAUCCAGCCGUUGAAACUGGGGAUCUAGAGUGUGCGAGAGGUAUGCGGAAUGCGUGGUGUAGCGGUGAAAUGCAUAGAUAUCACGCAGAACCCCGAUUGCGAAGGCAGCAUACCGGUGCACAACUGACGCUCAGGCACGAAAGCGUGGGUAUCGAACAGGAUUAGAUACCCUGGUAGUCCACGCAGUAAACGAUGAAUGCUACCUGUUUGGCCAGAUUGAAGGCUGA
rnacentral:rRNA from 1 species